ACUUUAAAGUAUUAUCUGUGGUGACAGCACUUUUUCCUCUAUGUUCAAUAUGGAGAUUUUUUACAAUUGCAGCCUUAGCGAGGUUCAUUAGAAAUAAUUCAAAUAAUAUCAAUUAAUACCAUUGUUAAAGAGUGAAUAUCUGAAGCAAUAGCUUUUAAUGUUGUUUCUCUUUACAGAGCAACAACUUUAGUUUUUUGUUUCAACGACAAACAACAUAUUACAUGUAUAUACUUACUAAGUAUAUAUUGGAUACCAAUGGCUGAUAAAUAAAAGGUGAAAGAAAACAUCUUCCGGAAACCUGGACUAUAAAGUCUGAAAUAACCAACCCGCAUUGAGCAAGCAUGGCGAUUAAUGCUCAAUCCUUCUCUGUGUGAGGGGAGGCCUGUGCCCAGCAGUGGGACGAUAAAAAGACUAAUAAAAGCAAGCACGGUGAAUGCUAUUUUUAGUUAUUAAAGAAUGAGCGGAAAUGUUUGUUACCUUCUUCAGUUUUAAUAAGAUCACUCAGAUUGAGUUCAUCUAAUGAGUUGGACUUUUCAUCUUCCUGAGGCAAUUCUUCUAUCAGGCAGGGAACCGCAAAGGUAUGAUAUCUGUGAAAUAUACAAGUAUAUAGUUUACAAGUCAAUUUCAUUUUAGUGUCAUACAGCAUUUCCAGUAAAGGAAUCAAAACACCAAUGGCUGCGUUACAACGUUAAAUCAAAUCCAUUUUAUUUUCAGGCAUCAAUGGCCCAUAGGUUACCUUAAAAACUAGCAUACAUGUGUAAAACUAUACAUUAUGUUAAUACAUAUGUUAAACAUUUAGGCUGAAGAGUUAAUAGCACCACAUAUUUUCCCAGUCGUGAACGGAGCGUCUUGGGGGCUGUCGUUGACAUUCGAAAAGUGCUGGUUUUCAACUUGUUCAAAAUACAUGCUUUUUGAUUCUAAA